UUAAAGGCUUUUUUCAAAGCCACAGAGGUAGUUUAGUAUAUCUUAU
rfam:Schistocephalus solidus strain NST_G2 genome assembly, scaffold: SSLN_scaffold0002571